GUCCAGACUCCUACGGGAGGCAGCAGUAGGGAAUAUUGCUCAAUGGGGGAAACCCUGAAGCAGCAACGCCGCGUGGAGGAUGAAGGUUUUCGGAUUGUAAACUCCUUUUGUUAGAGAAGAUAAUGACGGUAUCUAACGAAUAAGCACCGGCUAACUCCGUGCCAGCAGCCGCGGUAAUACGUAGGGAGCGAGCGUUGUCCGGAAUUACUGGGUGUAAAGGGAGCGUAGGCGGGAUUGCAAGUUGGAUGUGAAAACUGCGGGCUCAACCCGGAGCGUGCAUUCAAAACUGCGAUUCUUGAGUGAAGUAGAGGCAAGCGGAAUUCCUAGUGUAGCGGUGAAAUGCGUAGAUAUUAGGAGGAACACCAGUGGCGAAGGCGGCUUGCUGGGCUUUUACUGACGCUGAGGCUCGAAAGUGUGGGGAGCAAACAGGAUUAGAUACCCGUGUA
rnacentral:rRNA from 1 species